GCGCCGGCCGGAAGUGACCGCCGCGCAGGCGGCGGGGGCGGGGGGCGCGGCGGCACCGUCAUGGCGGGGGCGCUGCGCCGCCUCGGCCGGCCUCGCCCCUCACACGAGCGGCCUCGGGAGCCGCCGGGCAGUCGCCUCUCCGGAGGAGCAAACUUGUCCCGCUGACGGACGCCAGUGAGCGGCCCGGUCCUUCAGGUGCCUGUCGGGGCGUGUGCGCCCGUGGCAGAGGGCACCCGCGGCCCGGGCCUUGGCCUCUGGCCGGCGUCGGGGCGCUAGCAGCAGCGUGGCGCCUGCCCGGGAGGAGGAGAGGCGGCGCGUUGCCCUGGAAGAGUCGCACCCGGACCCGGCCGCUGCGGCGGAGCUGCCCAGGAUCCCUCCGACCAGCCUUCUCCUGCGGGUCCUACGAUUCGCGUGGCUGCGACAGCCCGAGCCCCGUCCCGGGGCCUGGCCUCCCGCUCGAGCGGGCUACAAGGGGCACCUGGGAAGGACUGGGAAGCCCGGCAGCGGGCCGAUGUCGGAACGGCCGGCCGGGAACGACGAACGGGUGAAACGUCAGAGUUGGGCAGCCAGCAAGGAAACAAAGUGAGGAACGUGCUGGAAGCACCCAAAGGAGGGAGGGAGCCCAUACAAGAAUGGAAAGAAAGAAAACAGUAGAGGGUAUGAGGAAAAUGGCUGUGAAAUGGCCACAGGAGGAAGAUGAAAGAAAAAGGAGAGAGAUGAAGAACAAGUACAAAAUGAGGAGACAGAAAUGGAUCCGACAAUAUAAGCAACCUAAAUUGUCUCUUGGAAUGAACUGCUGCCUGACCAAUACAUCUUUAAAUAUGGAAAAUAUGAAAAUGAAAAGCAGGUGUAUAAUGAGCAUGCUUUUAUUUCUAAAAUCAUUAACUAGCACUAAUGAGACCACUUGCAGUUGAUAAAAACAGUCCUGUGGUUAUUUUAUAACAUGGCACGAAGACUGAGUCAAGAGCACUCUCACCAGAAGAUGGGAUUCUGGGAUAUCCUGAAGUGCAUUAAUCAAGAUAUGUGCAUAAAAAAUAAUGUUGAAAGUUUUAGGACUGAAACAGUCCCAGUCUUGUAGCUGCUGCUUAAGUUUUAUAAAAAACAAGCAAUCCUUUUAAAAACAGUAGAGCUAUUUGAUGAGAAAAAGACCUUAAAUAGGAUGCUCUUUAUGAUCUUCUCUACAAAAUGAGCUGAACCAGUUUUUUCUUUUCCACGGUAGUCUUAAUAGUUACUAGUCUUAGGCCAGUCACUUUGAGCCAACAGAGAUGGUUAACGCUUAACUAAUGAAAUUGUGUGUGAGCUUCAUCAAGACAUACAGUGAGGCAGAUUCACAAGGUCAUGAACUGAAGUAAACUCUUAAAAUUGUGUUUUGUUAAUACUGUGGGCUUGCUUGGAUCCUGAUUUAAAAAACAAAGAAAAAAACCCACAAAUCAACCACAAAGCAACUCUCCAAGCUGUCACAUCUAUGUUUAGCUGACUGUUACUAGAUUGUGUCUGAAUCACACGUCCUUGAUACAACACUGUGAAUCACACAGCUUGCAUUGCAAUAGAUAAAGACUGUAUAUCCUGGUAGGUGAAGAUAAUAUUCGAUACAGAAGAUAGAUAUCAUUGCUCUUUAACAGAACAUUUCUUUUUGUUAUAUAUGUAUGCCUCAGGGAGUUAUAUUACCUAAUCCUCAUCUGAUACUUCUCUGAGAUUUUUCCUCAAGCAAAAUUCAUUAAAUCUGAGCUAUUCAGCAAUGUGAAACAGCAUAGAAAAGUAUUUAAAAAUAUAUGCACAAAGAACAAAUGUCUCAUUCAAGGCUUACAAACUGUCAAUGUAAAAUGCCAGUGUCAGAUUCCUGUAGUCACAUACGAUUAUUAAACUCGUGGCCUAUAUUCUAGUCUAACACCCACAAAGUCCAUCAGCCUCAGAAGAGCUGCACAGAUGUAAAUGAGAGUAGAAGCUGACCUUUUGAAUUCACAUACUGAGUCACAACUUCAUCUCAGAAGCUGAUGUAAUCGUAAUGUACUUCACCUUUACAUCCAUUUUAUCUUCCUACAAUUCUCAUUACUAAAAAUAAACCUGUUCUGGAAAGUUAAAGUGGACAUGUGACAGUGGCCACUUCGGAUAAGCCCCUGCACUCAGACACUCCUGUCUUCCUAUUAAGGUUCACUGUAUUUCUGCCUAAUGCUCCCGGCACUGGCAUCUGCCUUCUCCUGUAUUACCUGGAUUCAAGGCAAUUGGUAAAUACAGUGGAAGAAAGCUCCCAGUUCACUGCUUUCAGUUAUUUGGAUCAGUCUUGCAUUUAUCUUUACAGAUAAUUUAAAUCUUAACAAAAGAGGGGACAAGAUGUCUCUGUUCAGUUAGUUGGAAAUUCUGAGACCUCAGACGAUAUUAAAUGCAGUCUGGCACCGCAGAAAUGUCAGAUUCACUUAGUGCUACAUAGGCAGAACAUGAGCUUGUCUUUAAAAUUUCUGUUGUCACCUGGAAGAUGCAGAGACUGCCCCAGAAAAUUUAUUAGGACAAUGUUAUUAGGACAAACUUUUAUUACACGGCAUGCUAUUUAAAGCUGCAGACAGGAGAGGAAUCUGUAAGAAUCAAAACAAUGCCUGAUUGCCAUUGUCUAACUCUAUACAGACUAUUUGUAAUGUAAGACCUCCAGCUCUUCUUACACCAUAAUAGAGCACUGUAUAAAAUGAGUUCUAAAAAGGAUACAGUAGCAUAAAAUACUAGAAAAUUAGUAAUAUUUUUUAAAUUUAUUACUGUCAUGCCAACACUAAUGAAAGGUGGAAACAAUAGGAAUGUAUAUUCUCAGGAACCAAGCAGAAGCAACAGAUACAGUUAGAUCUUUGUACAAUAAACUGCACACCUGACUAGCAAUCUGUUUACAUUAUGACUGAUCUAUUCCUUAUGAAACUUCAAAAUCAUCUUGUCAUAGAGAUACUAUUUUCCAGUACAAGAAUACUGGAUAUUUCUUUAAAGGGGCAGAGCCAGAAUUAAUGAUUUCAUAAUCAGCUUGUUCUUGACAGUGUAAUUCAGAAAAGAGUGUCCUUAAUAUAGCCCAAUAAAAGAACAGACAAUACGAGACAUUUAAAAA